CGCGCGCCAGAAGGCCGAGAUCGCCGCCUCCAGGACAAGCCAUGCCAAGGCCAAAGCUGAAGCUGCAGAACAGGCUGCCCUGGCUGCCAACCAAGAGUGCAACGUUGCCCGCAGUUUGGCCAGGGAGCUGGCUCCAGACUUCUACCAACCAGGCCCGGAAUACCAGAAGCGCCGGCUGCUGCA